rnacentral:rRNA from 1 species
UGAGUAACGCGUGGGUAACCUGCCCUUAAGUAUGGGAUACCAUUUGGAAACAGAUGCUAAUACCGGAUAAAAGCUACUUUCGCAUGAAAGAAGUUUAAAAGGCGGCGUAAGCUGUCGCUAAAGGAUGGACCUGCGAUGCAUUAGCUAGUUGGUAGGGUAACGGCCUACCAAGGCGAUGAUGCAUAGCCGAGUUGAGAGACUGAUCGGCCACAUUGGGACUGAGACACGGCCCAAACUCCUACGGGAGGCAGCAGCG